CCUUUGGAGGGUUUGAUCCUGGCUCAGAGUGAACGCUGGCGGCGUGGAUUAGGCAUGCAAGUCGAGCGAUUUUAUACUUAACAUUGAUGUUUCGUAAGAAAUAUUAGUGUUGAGUAUGGAAUAGCGGCAAAAGGGUGAGGAAUACGUGGGUAACCUACCUAGAGGAGGAAGAUAGUCCGCCGAAAGGCGGAGUAAUAUUCCAUAGUCCCUUGAUAUCUUUGAUAUUAAGGGUAAAGAUGGCCUCUGUUUACAAGCUAUCACCACUAGAGGGGCUCACGUCCUAUCAGGUAGUUGGUAGGGUAAUGGCCUACCAAGCCAAAGACGGGUAGCUGGCGUAAGAGCGUGACCAGCCACAUCGGGACUGAGACACUGCCCGGACUCCUACGGGAGGCUGCAGUCGAGAAUCUUUUCCAAUGGACGAAAGUCUGAGAAUGCGACGCCGCGUGGAGGAUGAAGGCCUUCGGGUUGUAAACUCAUUUUAUUGAGGAGGAAUGCUAAAGUGCAAAUAGUGCUUUAGAUUGACUGUACUCAAUGAAUAAGUCAUGGCUAACUCCGUGCCAGCAGCCGCGGUAAUACGGAGAUGGCAAGCGUUACUCGGUAUGAUUGGGUGUAAAGGGUCCGCAGGCGGUUAUACAAGUGUGAGGUGAAAUCUUUCGGCUUAACCGGAAAACUGCCUUUCAAACUGUAUAACUUGAGGAUGGAAGAGGAGAGUGGAACUACCGGUGUAAAGGUGAAAUUUGUGGAUAUCGGUAGGAACGCCCGUGGAGAAGUCGACUCUCUGGUCCAUUCCUGACGCUCAGGGACGAAAGCUAGGGGAGCAAACAGGAUUAGAUACCCUGGUAGUCCUAGCUGUAAACGAUGGGCACUAGGUGUUCGUUCGUAAGAAUGGGUGCCGCAGUAAACAC
rnacentral:rRNA from 1 species